rnacentral:rRNA from 1 species
AGCGAACGCUGGCGGCAGGCCUAACACAUGCAAGUCGAACGAACCUUUCGGGGUUAGUGGCGGACGGGUGAGUAACACGUGGGAACGUGCCUUUAGGUUCGGAAUAACUCAGGGAAACUUGUGCUAAUAUCGAAUGUGCUCUUCGGGGGAAAGAUUAAUCGCCUUUAGAGCGGCCCGCGUCUGAUUAGCUAGUUGGUUGAGGUAAUGGCUCACCAAGGUGACGUUCAGUAGCUGGUCUGUGAGGAUGAGCAGCCACAUUGGGACUGAGACACGGCCCAGACUCCUACGGAAAGCAGCAGUGGCGGAUCUUGCGCAAUGGGCGAAAGCCUGACGCAGCCAUGCCGCGUGAAUGAUGAAGGUCUUAGGAAAGUAAAAUUCUUUCACCGGGGACGAUAAUGACGGUACCCAAAGAAGAAGCCCCGGCUAACUUCGUG